AGGAACACAAACACCAGUCGCUUCCCCUGGCCAGCAGUGGUAGCCGUCCUGCUCCUCCUCUGCAGUUCCCUAAUAGCUGUGGGCAUCAGGAAAUGGUGUCAGUACCAGAAAGAGAUUAUGAACAGACCUCCAUCUUUCAAGCCACCACCACCUCCAAUAAAGUACACCUCCAUGGUGGAGUCUGAUGGGACUGCCCCAUCCUGCCACGAACUAGAAAACCUGUAACAUUGCCUACACCCCUCGUGUAGCUUGCAGAAGACUGACACAAUUAAAAAGCUCUGUGUUUAGAACAGUGACUGCAGGAGCUGGGUGUUAAUGACCCAUAUUAAAAUUCAGAGUGCCUACAUGACAUUACUGUUGGAAGCUGAGCAUUCCUUAGGACACUUCAUCCUGUCUAUCUCCAUGUAUGCAUUACGUUAACACCGUUGUGUCACCGUGAGAUUACACGUGCUUCAUUUGAAUUAGGUGAUCGACUGGGAAUUUCCUGUCUUUUUAAUGGGAGCAGAUUAACACAUCACUCCUCCAGCCUGACUGAAGAGUGCUGAAGCUUCUCUUUUACUGAGUGCAUAGAGAUGACAGCUCUGCUGUAUGGACACCACGGUUACAGUGGCUUCACACAAGUUUUUUGAUACCUACACGAGUCGUUCUUGCAAUUAUUUUUUUCAAUUGUGGACUAACAUGACCAACUUAGUAUUUUCUAUCACCUUGAAACCAAACAAAAAACAAUCAGCAUUUUAUACAGAAAGAAAAUAUCUGCAUCUCUCAGCACGGGGUUGCAGCACAGGAUCAUGUGGAGGGGUUGGUGAGAUGAAAGGUCAUGGUGCAGGCCUGGUGCAAGUGUUUGUGAAGAAGAUUCAGUUGUCAUUGGUGAAAUCACAGAAAACAGUCAACUUUGGGCUCAUGCACAAGCCACCUGUGGGCCAGAGACUUGAGGACUGAAGUGAACAAUGAGCUUAAAGAUAAUAGAAAAUUCUAAUCCUUUUAGAAGUGCUUUGCCUCUGAAACAGUGCUUACAUUUGAGUCUGUUUUUGUGGAAUUAUAUUUUUGAUACCCACUAAG